rnacentral:rRNA from 1 species
GACGAACGCUGGCGGCGUGCCUAAUACAUGCAAGUCGAGCGAACGGACGAGAAGCUUGCUUCUCUGAUGUUAGCGGCGGACGGGUGAGUAACACGUGGAUAACCUACCUCUAUGACUGGGAUAACUUCGGGAAACCGGAGCUACUACCGGCUAAUAUUUUGAACCGCAUGGUUCAAAAGUGAAAGACGGUCUUGCUGUCACUUAUAGAUGGAUCCGCGCUGCAUUAGCUAGUUGGUAAGGUAACGGCUUACCAAGGCAACGAUGCAUAGCCGACCUGAGAGGGUGAUCGGCCACACUGGAACUGAGACACGGUCCAGACUCCUACGGGAGGCAGCAGUAGGGAAUCUUCCGCAAUGGGCGAAAGCCUGACGGAGCAACGCCGCGUGAGUGAUGAAGGUCUUCGGAUCGUAAAACUCUGUUAUUAGGGAAGAACAUAUGUGUAAGUAACUGUGCACAUCUUGACGGUACCUAAUCAGAAAGCCACGGCUAACUACGUG